AGUGAACGCUGGCGGUAGGCCUAACACAUGCAAGUCGAACGGCAGCACAGUAAGAGCUUGCUCUUACGGGUGGCGAGUGGCGGACGGGUGAGGAGUACAUCGGAAUCUACUUUUUCGUGGGGGAUAACGUAGGGAAACUUACGCUAAUACCGCAUACGACCUACGGGUGAAAGCAGGGGAUCUUCGGACCUUGCGCGAUUGAAUGAGCCGAUGUCGGAUUAGCUAGUUGGCGGGGUAAAGGCCCACCAAGGCGACGAUCCGUAGCUGGUCUGAGAGGAUGAUCAGCCACAAUGGAACUGAGACACGGUCCAGACUCCUACGGGAGGCAGCAGUGGGGAAUAUUGGACAAUGGGCGCAAGCCUGAUCCAGCCAUACCGCGUGGGUGAAGAAGGCCUUCGGGUUGUAAAGCCCUUUUGUUGGGAAAGAAAAGCAGCAGGUUAAUACCCCGCUGUUCUGACGGUACCCAAAGAAUAAGCACCGGCUAACUUCGUG
rnacentral:rRNA from 1 species